GUAACGGGGUGUUAGGGCACGACACCGUAGAGGGAGCCUGAGAAACGGCUACCCACAUCCCAAGGAUGGCAGCAGGCGCGCAAAUUACCCCAAUCCCGACACGGGGAGGUAGUGACAAUAAAUAACAAAUACGGGGUCCUUUCGGGUUUCGUAAAUUGGAAUGAGUACACUUUACGAGGAACGAAUUGGAGGGCAAAGUCUGGUGCCAGCAGCCGAGCUCCAAUAGCGUAUAUUAAAGUUGUUGCAGUUAAAAAGCUCGUAGUUGAAUUUCGGGAUUAGUACGUUGGUCGUGCCUUCGGUACGUACUGGUGUUACUGGUUCCUACCUUCUGACGAACCAUCAUGUCAUUAAUUUGGUGUGGUGGGGAAUCAGGACUGUUACUUUGAAAAAAUUAGAGUGUUUAAAGCAGGCUCGCGCUGGAAUACAUUAGCAUGGAAUAAUGAAAUAGGACGUUGACCCUAUUUUGUUGGUUUCUAGGAUUGACGUAAUGAUUAAUAGGGAUAGUUGGGGGCAUUAGUAUUCAAUUGUCAGAGGUGAAAUUCUUGGAUUUAUUGAAGACUAACUACUGCGAAAGCAUUUGCCAAGGAUGUUUUCAUUAAUCAAGAACGAAAGUUAGGGGAUCGAAGACGAUCAGAUACC
rnacentral:rRNA from 1 species